AUUCAGCUAAUAAGUCCCAAAUAGGACGAAACACUCGUCCUGGAU
rfam:Schistosoma rodhaini strain Burundi genome assembly, scaffold: SROB_scaffold0010188